GUUUCCGUAGUGUAGCGGUUAUCACGUUCGCCUCACACGCGAAAGGUCCGCAGUUCGAAACUGGGCGGAAACA
rnacentral:tRNA from 1 species